UGGUGUCGUGGGUCUCUCGGUGGUCGGGUCUGCUGCCGUCCACGUCCGUUCCCCUCAGCCUUACCGCCGCCUGCCCGCACCCGCCGCUCCAGCCACCUAGGCCGCGGGAUGUGCAGCGCGGCACCGAGGAGCCGGGCCUACCCACCUGGUGCGGCCGGAGGCCCGGAGGCCACGUGGGCCGCCUGCGCUGGGAGAGGGGCCGGAGCCCUCGGGGGCCGCGCCUUUUUCCCGCCGCGACCUGCGUAGCCCUGCGCUCCGAACUGAGCGAUGAAGAUUCCAGGAAGAUUCUGAUGAGUGAGAAUUCUGGGGGUCAUGACAGUGAUGAAACACAACAACUUUGGGACCCGGUUGUCCUGAAGUUUCCUGAUAGUGACUGAUACUGAAGAAUCUGAGGAGACCAGCUUGUUUCUGGAGCUGUGCCUUAGACUAAGAUCUUUUAAGCUGUCCUCAUCUGUGAUUAUGGAUCUAUAGAGUUGGGAAAGAAACGCCAUGGGAAGAGGCAGGCAGAAGGACAACAGGUUUUUUUUGGUGGCAACAGUAAGCUCUGUAAACAGUCCUUUGUUUUUUGCUAAUGCUAUAUCUGGUUCCUAAAUAUAGGUGAUCAAUAAAAAACUCUUUUGUGUCUUGUUCAUCAAA